UGUGUCCCCCCUAACAAAGCCUUUUGUUUUCAAACAGCAGAAGAAAAAGACAACACAGAAAACACACGGAUUGUCAACAAGCGAUCAGUGUCAUGCUCCAUCACAGAAACCAACAGACAAGGUCACUACCCAAAUCCAAUCAGACAUGACAGGCCAUCAUGAGGAGGAUAUAAAGGGAAGUAUUGUUCAAA